rnacentral:misc_RNA from 1 species
GAUGAAGAACGUAGCGAAAUGCGAUAAGUAAUGUGAAUUGCAGAAUUCAGUGAAUCAUCGAAUCUUUGAACGCACAUUGCGCCCGCCAGCAUUCUGGCGGGCAUGCCUGUUCGUGCGUCAUUUCAACCCUCGAGCCCCCCCGGGGGCCUCGGUGUUGGGGGACGGCACACCAGCCGCCCCCGAAAUGCAGUGGCGACCCCGCCGCAGCCUCCCCUGCGUAGUAGCACACACCUCGCACCGGAGCGCGGAGGCGGUCACGCCGUAAAACGCCCAACUUUCUUAGAGUUGACCUCGGAUCAGGUAGGAAUACCCGCUGAACUUAAGCAUAUCAAUAAGCGGAGGA